GACCUCGGAUCAGUAGAAUCCCGAUC
rnacentral:rRNA from 1 species